rnacentral:rRNA from 1 species
GUAGGUGGCAAGCGUUGUCCGGAAUUAUUGGGCGUAAAGCGCGCGCAGGCGGUUCUUUAAGUCUGAUGUGAAAGCCCACGGCUCAACCGUGGAGGGUCAUUGGAAACUGGAGAACUUGAGUACAGAAGAGGAAAGCGGAAUUCCACGUGUAGCGGUGAAAUGCGUAGAGAUGUGGAGGAACACCAGUGGCGAAGGCGGCUUUUCUGGUCUGUAACCGACGCUGAGGCGCGAAAGCGUGGGGAGCAAACAGGGAUUAGAUACCCUGGUAGUCCACGCCGUAAACGAUGAGUGCUAAGUGUUAGGGGGUUUCCCGCCCCUUAGUGCUGCAGCUAACGCAUUAAGCACUCCGCCUGGGGAUACGGCCGCAAGGCUG